CACGUAGGGACCAAGCGUUGUCCGGAUUUAUUGGGCGUAAAGCGCUCGUAGGCGGUUUGGUAAGUCGGGUGUGAAACCUCCAGGCUCAACCUGGUGACGCCACCCGAUACUGCUAUGACUUGAGUUCGGUAGGGGAGCGGGGAAUUCCUGGUGUAGCGGUGAAAUGCGCAGAUAUCAGGAGGAACACCGGUGGCGAAGGCGGGUCUCUGGGCCGAUACUGACACUGAGAAGCGAAAGCGUGGGGAGCGAACAGG
rnacentral:rRNA from 1 species